rnacentral:rRNA from 1 species
AGACGGAGGGGGCUAGCGUUGUUCGGAAUUACUGGGCGUAAAGGGCGCGUAGGCGGUUUAAUAAGUUAGGAGUGAAAUCCCGGGGCUUAACCCUGGAACUGCUUCUAAAACUGUUAGGCUAGAGUAUGGUAGAGGGUGAUGGAAUUUCUAGUGUAGAGGUAAAAUUCUUAGAUAUUAGAAGGAACACCAGUGGCGAAAGCUGUCAUCUGGGCCAUUACUGACGCUGAGGCGCGAAAGCGUGGGGAGCAAACAGGAUUAGAUACCCUGGUAGUCCACGCUGUAAA